ensembl:lncRNA
CUGUCAUCCAUGGGAGGCAGCAGAUUGGAGCGGAGAGCCAGGCACUUGGUGAGAAAUCCAGUUGUUGGAAACAGAAAUAAAGGGAUUAGACUCAGUUAGAAUAGGCUCCAGUUUGUGACCCUGGUAAGUGGGAGUCUUUGCUCUGAAGUGCUGCAUGGCUACCAUCAAGCUGUAUUUUAAGGAAUGAACUGAGGUUCUGCCAGUUCCUGUGGAUAUCCCUCAUCUUAGAAAGCACAGUCAUGAGAAAGGGUGUGUGGGUAGGUGAGGGCUAAGUACUAGGAAGUUAAGGGUCAGAGUAGAUCUGUAAGAUGCUGGCUGCAUUAUUAAAAGUUGUGUAAAGAACACCAGGCUUUGGGGCUCCCUGAAGACAGGUCUUUUGUCUGCCUCAGUCUCUGUUGCAUUCCUACCACCCAGCACACUACUAGCACACAGCAGUGCUCAAUAAAUAUUUGUUGAAUAAAUGAGUACAGACCUGCCACUUGGUUCUGCCACUUACUAGCUCUGUGGCACUUACAAGUCGGUAAAUCUCUCUGAGACUCAUUUAAAUUUUUGCCAUUAAAAAAUGGAUAUUGUAUACACAAAGUGCAUAAUAGGUGCUUAGUAAAUAAUUGUUGCUGUUGUUGAUGAUCGUGCCCUGUUUCCCUUCCAGACUAGAAGUUACUUGAGGAGAAGACCUUCUCCUAUAGAUUUUUGCAGACUGUGGAUUUGGCACCCCAGUUUUUACUUCAUAAAUGCUGAGGAAAUAUUUCCUUGCUGAAUAAUUUGAAAAUACGGAAGAGAUUGAUCAAUACACUCAUCUUUCUGCAAUCAUCUGAGAGGCCAAAAUGGCCUUGGGGAUGAUGUAUGACACACACAAUGUGAGUCCCUAAAAGCUUCUGGUCUCUGAAGGUUAUUACAGAGACAACCAUGGGAAGUAAUAAAGCUGUGUCGUUUAUUUAAAGUGGGGGCCUUCAUCUUGUCUCUCCUCACACUUCCUCUCUCUACUCCUAAAGUGCUGACUGGACAAUAUGAAAGAGAAAAAAGAUGCCUAUUUCAAACCUUCAGGAAGCCCAUUUGGCCAAUUCAUUCUAGAAAGAUAAAAUCUAUCAAGUAUUUCACAAGUAAAAGUUGAUGUUAGGUUAACUUUCAAACUGAUGCCAGACUCAAGCCUUAGGAUGUGUCAUUUUUAUCCAAUUAACAAUGCAGGAAUGACAAAAAGACUCCCCUCCCUGCCCACUGGGAUUAACAGAAUUCCAAGCAGAGCUGUGUUAUUUGGACCCGAGAGGGCUGGCUGUGUGCGUGAAGUUCAAUAGAGCUGUUCAUAUCUCUGAUGUGCUGUGAAAUGUAAUCACUAAAGCUGGUUUGGAAAAUCAAAAUGGGCAAAAUGUGCUGUGAAAUAGAAUUUCCAAGACUUAUUGAGGAAAUAAACAAGGAAAAUAAAUCUGUGAAACAUAUGCAUCAGACACUCUUUGAGGUCAAGGCUAUAAAGGGUACCCACAGGCUCUAUAAAAUUCUUCUCAGUGUCUUCUUCCCCUUGUCCUAAGUUAGCCGGUGAGGAGACAAAGAGCAGGCUCGUGUCGACAUCUGGCUGGUGUCUAGGCAUGAGCCAUAAUGCCCUCCUCCCACACACAGGUGUUGCCGUGUGACGUCUGGCUGCCACAUGAUACAACCCAAAGAAGGGCAUGCUGGGAAAGGAGUGGGUAUGCCCUCUGUUCUGAUCCAUCACACCCAUAGGCACCAUCCCCAGAGCGAUACACAAAAUGGAAGAAUCCUCAUCUCCAGCCAGUUCUAUGUUGUAGGGAACACAUGGACCAUGAAUAUCAUCCUUGACUUUUUGUCCCCUGGAUGCAGGGGCACAGCAGGAGGAGGAGGAGGGUGUCUUCAGUACAUAGCCCUCUGGAGCCUGCUGAUCAGCAAUAGAGAAGUUAUCUUCUGUGACUUAACCAUCUAACCCCAACAUAAAUGGAAUGAGAGGAGCCCUGUACAGGAGUGACCCACCUUAUGAGGUGCCUUGUAAGCAUGUUGAGGUGCCACAUAGCAGUUUGGACCUUGCUCACUCCUCCAGCUACCUCACUCACCGCCCUGCACAGCAUCUGUCCUCCAGCCUCAUGGCUUUUCUCUUCCCAUUAAGUUUUAGGCACGCUGUUCCCUGAGCCUGGAAUGCAUGAGCCUGUUGCUAUGGAGCUAAGAGUCUGCUCUGAUGUCUCUCCUCCUCCAGGAAGUCUCUACAUGCCCCAUGCCCUUCUUCACGCAUUCCUUGCCCAGCAGAAGGUGCUCUUCCUUCUCUGUUCCCAGAGCUCGUGCAACUGCUAUGACGGUAUAGUGCUCAUCACAUUAACACCAUACCACCUCCACCCACCCCACCACAGUGUAAGCCACUGAAGUCCCCAUCAGUUAUCUUUGCAUCCCAGUGCCAAUCUCAGUGUUUGGGAUGCAGUGAGAAUUAAAUAAAUCUGCACUGAUUGCAUGAAAGAACUAACGAGGAAGCAUGAGAAACAGUCAUGUUUAUCAGGACGCACUCAGGUCUGAAAUGCAACUGAAGGAAGUUCUAGUCUGACCUCGUGCUUCCCAAAAUGUGGUUGGUGGAACAUAAGCCCCUGGAGUGUGCUCUAUUCCCCUCCCCUGAAAAGAAUCAAAUAAGUUUGGGAAAUGCUAUAUGUUCCUCCUAAAGCAUUGUGUGCACAUGAGCUUUAUAAAGGCCCUGGGAAGACCUACAAUUAAGAAAACUAUUAAAAGUUGGUUUCAUCUGGUGUCGAGCAAACUAAUUCUUUAUAGCCAGGUCUGGCAAUUUUGUACUGUUUUAUGAGCUAACCCUGAUCUGUUGCUGGUGGACUGGAGGGAAAUUUGGAACAGAGGGGCUUCCAUUACAGCAGUGGUUCUCAAAGUGUGGUCCCCAAACCAGGAGCAGCAGCAGCAUGUGGGAACUUGCUAGAAAUGCAAAGUCCAGGCCCCACCCUAGACCUACUUAUGCAGAGAUGGAGUCAGGGGUCCAGCAAUCUGUGUUCUAACAAACCUUCCGGGUGAUUCUGCUGCAUACCAUAGAGGGUGAGGACCACUGCCCUGGAGAAACACUCCUGGUUCUUGGAGGUCCUCCUUACUCAUUCAGAGGAGAGGUUGAUCUGAGGGGUGAGUCAGGAGAAGGAACUGCAUGUGUACGGCUCAGCCCCUUCUUGGUUUCCAUCAUCAAGUCUGCUGUCUGCAUUGACGGUGCAUUCUGGUCUGCUCUGUUGGCAGGCUGUGAGCUCGGUGGGCCCGAAUCUUCUGUGGGGAAAGCCUGUGGUUUUCCAACACUGCCUGUGACUGACCAGAUGGGUAAUUGCCUAAUCCAGAGAUGAAGUGUGAGCAAAGUUUGUGCCCACAAAUCCAAAGGCUUUCCUUCCAACAAGCUUAUCUUUAUUAGAAGAUAGCAUUUUGAUCACUGUGCCUAUCUCCUGGGUCUUAUUUCUUAGUUGGUUCUGAACCUGGGUGGGGAAGAAGGGCUUUUUUACAGGGCUGCCAUGUUGCACAGCACAGAAAUCAAUGUGGAUAUUGCUCCUGGAGUGGUACAAUGCAGCAGUCCCCAUUAUUUAUUAGCCCCAGAAAACCCCAAUUUUGUUGGCUGUUUAGAGAGCUGUAUUGAGAAGGAUUCUGAGACCAGGUCUGGGCUCAGUGGGAAAGAGUCCUGAGAUCGGUUAAGGAAGUUUACACAGGAGUGGGGCAGGGGUAGGUGGAGGCACGUGGGUCAAGUAUCUGCCAUUCCAGGGUAGACAGUUCCACAGCUAAGAGUUUGGAAACUGCACUUUGCCACGCUUUCCCCUCUUUACCAAGCAACCAUCUAAUACACAACUUGUUCUCCUGAGUAGACUAACCUACCAGGAAGGAGUAGCCUGAGCCAAGGACCAGGUACAGGUAACUCCCUAGACCAUUCUCCCAUAGAAGUCAAUAAAUGGGCCUUUAGGUUUAUCUCUGUUUCUCAUGUGUAUAGUUAGUAACGGGUCCAUCUGCCAGAGCCUGACCACCUCCAGCACACUGAGAAAGCAGAGUUUAUUGGCUGGGAAGCUGAACCAAGGUUCUGGCGACUGUGAGCCUUGCAUAGGGCUUCCAGAGGCCUCCAUGGUUGUCUUUCAUCACAAUGGGUGGCCCAAUGGACCUUUUCUCAACUGCUGCUUUCCAUUUCAAAAGGCAAAGCACUGGGCAAAGGGGAAGGAAGAGGAGGAAUUAUCUAGGAAAUCUGACCCUUGUGGUCAUUUCUCAGACAAAAACCUUCCAUCCAUCCCUUUCUUCAAGAGCAGGAAUUUGGUACCCAUAUUAUCUAGAUCAUUAUAUUACUUCUCUUGGCAUUUGAAAAGAAAAUUGUUUUGUGUGUCUGUGAGAAAGAGAUUGAAUGCAUUUCUCUUCCUUUGAUGCCUGCCUCCUCUCUGAAUCUCUGUGACUAUAACCAAUGAUGCUCCUGCAUGUAGUUUUGUAAUAUGAAGCCCGAAGAGCUUUUUCUUGGUGAAAUUGCUUUUCUAAAAUUACUUAAGAGCUUCCAAUCCCGAAAAGUAGCCUUUAUUAAAUUAAUUUUUGAACAAAAACAGCCCAAACUAGUUAAGGUGGAAGAAAGCUGAGAGGUGUGAGCAUUAUCAGAGUUUUCACAUCUAAUCGCCUACAUGUCCCUACAGCUAGAGUUAAUCAAGAGACCACUGCUGCAUAAAAGAGUGAACAUUUAGGAGGAAAUUAGGAAAACACAUGAAACUGACAAAAGAAUAUCCGAACAUUUCAAAGUUUUCUCAGAACCGAUAGUAAAAAUAUAGACUUUCCCCACCUUUUUCUACCUCUCCCUGGGAGACCUAAGUGCUGGUCAUGUGUUAGAAAAGGUGCUCCAAGUGACACCUUACAGAUUUCUAGCGACUUCUGAUGUAGCAUCAUGUUUAACAGCAGCGGCUAUGGAGCCAGACUGCCUCCCUUUGCAUCUAGGCAGUGCUGUUUACUCGCUGUAUGAUGUCGGGCAAGUCACUUCACCUCUUGAAGCCUCCGCGAGCUCAUACAUAAAAUGCAGGUGGUAACAGUGCCCAGAUCGCAGCCCUGUAGAGAGGAAUGAGAUGAUUCACAUCAAGAGCUUAGCAAGGUCAUGGGCACGUGGUGAGUGCUCAGUCAAUACUGACUACUAUCGCCAUUAUUUGGUGAAAGCAACCGGUCCCUCUGUUUGGGACUGGAAUCAUUCUAAUUGGUUGGUAAUUGGUUGGCUGUUUUUUUUUUCUUGAGGUAUAACUGUCAAAUAAAAUUGUUUAUAUUUAAAGUGUACAAUGUGAUGAUUUGAUAUAUGUAUACAUUGUGAAAUGAUUAACACAAGUUAAUUAACACAAGCAUCACCUCACAUAGUUAACUUAGUUAUCUGUUUUUUUGAUAAGAAUGCUUAAGAUCUAUUCUCUCGGCAAUUUUCAAGUACAAAAUACAGUCUCGUUAACUAUAGUCACUGUGCUGAACAUUAGAUCCUUAGAACUUCUUCAUCUUAUAAUUAAAAACUUUUACCAUUGACCGAUAUCUCCCCAUUUCUCCUAUCCCCCCUGGCAACCACCAUUCUACUCACUGUUUCUAUACGUUCUGGGUUUUUUUUUGUAGAUUCCACAUAUAAGUCAUACCAUACACUAGUUGUUUUUCCAAGUCUGGCUUAUUUCACUUAGCUUACUGUCCUCUAGGUUCAUCCAUGUUGUCACAAACGGCAGGAUUUCCUUCUUUUUCAUGGCUGAAUAAUAUUCCAUUGUAUAUAUCUAUCUCACAUUUUCUUUAUCCAUUCAUCUGUUGACAGACACUUAGGUUGUUUCCAUGUCUUGAUCAUUGUGAAUAAUGCUGCAAUGAACAUGGGAGUGCAGAUAUCUCUGAGACACUGAUUUUUCCUUCCUUCAGAUAUAUUCCCAGAAGCAGAAUUGCUGGAUCAAAUGGUAGAUCUAUUUUUAAUUUUUUGAGAACCCUCCCUACUGUUUUCUGUAGUGGCUGUAUCGAUAUACAUUCCCACCAACAGUGCACAAGGGUUUCUUUUUCUCUACAUUCUUGCCAACAUUUGUUCUCUUGUCUUCUUGACAAUAGCCAUCCUGACAAGUGUGAGGUGGUAUCUCAUUGUGGUUUUGAUUUGCAUUUCCCUAAUGGUUAGUGAUGUUAAGUACCUUUUCAUACAUCUGUUAACCAUUUGCAUGUCUUCUUUGGAAAAAUAUCUAUUACUCAGGUCUUCUGCCCAUUUUUAAAUCAAAUUAUUUGUGUUUUUGCUUUUGAGUUUUAUGAGUUUCUUAUAUAUUUUGAAUAUUAACCCCUUAUCAGAUAUAUGAUUUGCAAAUAUUUUCUCCCAUUCCGUAGAUGCCCUUUUCAUUUUGUUAGUCAUUUCUUUUGCGGGGCAGAAGCUUUUUAGUUUGAUGUAGUCCCACUUAUUUAUUUGUGCCUUUGUUGCCUUUGCUUUCAGUGUCAUAACCAAAAAGUCAUUGCCAAGACCAAUGUAAGGAGCUUUUUCCUUAUGAUUUAUUCUAAGAGUUUUAUGGUUUUAGGUCUUAUAUUUAAGUCUUUAAUCCAUUUUGAGUUAAUUUUUGUGAGUGGUGCAAGACGAGAGUCCAAUUUCAAUUUUUUGCAUGUGGAUAUCCAGUUUUUCCAACUCCAUUUAUUUGAAGAGACUAUCAUUUCCCCAUUGUGUGUUCUUGGCACACACAAUGUCAAAGAUUAGUUGACCAUAUAUGCAUGGAUUUAUUUCUGGGGUCUGAAACUUAUUCAAUUGGUCUAUGUGUCUGUUUUUAUGCCAGUACCAUACUGUUUCGCUUAUUAUAACACUGUAAUAUAGUUUGAAAUCAGGAAAUGUAAUGCCUCCAGCUUUGUUCUUCUUUCUCAAGAUUGCUUUGGCUAUUCAGGGUCUUCUGUGGUUCUAAUCACACUUUAGGAUUUUUUUUUUUCAAAUUUCUGUGAAAAAUACCAUUGGAAUUUUGAUAGGGAUUACACGGAAUCUGUAGAUGGCUUUGAGUAGUAUGGACUUUUUAACAACAUUAAUUCUGUAAAUCCACCAACAUAGGAUGUCUUUCCAUUUAUUAGUAUCUUCUUCAGUUGGUUUCAUCAAAGCUUUAUCGUUUUCAGUGUACAGGUUUUUCACCUCUUUGGUUAAAUUUAUUCCUAAGUAUUUUAUUGUUUUUGAUGCUAUUGUAAAAAUGGGAUGGCUUUCUUAAUUUCCCUUUCAGACGGUUCAUUGUACUGUGAAAUUGCAUGCUGAGAUUUGCAUAUAACUCACAGCCUAUCUUGUCUAUGUAGCAGCCUGUAAAACAUCUGAGCACAUCCCAUGUGUCAAGCAUGGAAAUGUCAUCCAUCCUUGUUGUGUGUUGCCAAGGGCAGGAAGUUGGGAACUGCUGGGCUAUAUAUUUUCAGGACCCUUUCCAGGGCUAAGCUUUGCAGCCCCAGUGCCUUUGCUCCUGUGGCUGACAGGACACCUUGUGAGAGGCUGCUGUCACCGCCACCUGAAAGGGCUCCUCCCUCAAAAAUCACAACAAAAAUCCAACCACCCAUCCUUACUUAGCAUCACAGAGACAGCACUUUCACUUUGGAACAGAAGGGUGUGAAUUGGGAGGGAAGCUACAUCUUCUGGACAAAUUAUUCUUCCAAGUUUAUAGAGAAACCCACUAAGGAAAUCAGCGAACUGAUUUGGUAAUUUUGUUAUUUGCUUUUUUUUGUUAAAAGAUCUCUGAUGUCUAAAAGCACGGUAGGACCUUUCUAUCUUUUUCUCUCUUCCUUCCUCUGCCCUCUGUCCCUCCCUUCAUAGAGCCAUUGUCAAGACCAGCGUCUGAGAGGUGAGAGGCGGGUGUGUGUGUGUGGCAUGAAGGUGGUGUCAUGCCCAGUGGCUGAAGAGGCAGCAGCAUUGGAGAGAGUGCAUAAAGGCAGCAGGCAGAGGAGGCAGCUGGCGGGGUUGGGAGAUUGGUUACAUUGAGCACAAAAGUCAAUAAAUUGAGAAAAAUGAGAGCCAGAUUUCUCACUGUCACACAACCAGAACCAGCCCAGGAUCUGCUGGCAAUUCUACCUGUACUUCCACCACUGUGAGAAGGCGCUGACCACUAAAAGGGGUGAUGUCGCCGACAUGCAAAUGGUACUGGCAUGUACACCAGUCCCUCUAUCCCGCAUCCUGAGUGACAGCCUGGGAUGCCCACAGGGCAGAAGGUGCAUUUCCUGGGAAGAUUAGAACUGUCCCCACCCCCCUCUCUCCUGUCCUCUGUCCUUUUCCCAGGAGAGUGAGGUGAGACCUAAGCACAUUGUGAUGUACACCCUGGGAUCCUGAACCAUCACUUAACCAAUAAUAAAAACUCCUUGGAAAAGUGAAAAAAGAAAGAUACCAAAGAAGACCAGAAUAAAUGGAGAGACAACACCAUGUUCAUGGAUUGGAAGACUAAAUAUAAGAAAGAUGUCAAUUAGCCCUAAAUUGAUAUUCAGGCUUACUGCAAUUCCUGUCAAAAUCUCAGCAAAAUUGUUUUGGCGAUGUAGAUGAUAGUAACGUAAAAUUUAUAGAAAAUGUUAAGGAAUAUAGAAUUGCUAUAAAAAUUCAGAAAAAGAAAAAUAAAGUGGGAAGAAUCAGCCUACCCAAUCUUAAGAUUUAUAUAGUCAAAACACGGUAUUGGUGAAGGGAUAGACAUAUAGAUCAAUGAAACAGAAUGGAGAACCCAGAAAGAGACACAAACAAAUGUGCCAACUAAAGUGCAAAAGCUAUUAGUCUUUUCAACAAAAGGUCUUAGAGCAUUUGGACACCCAUGGCGGGGGGGACCCUGAACCUAAACUUCAUAACUUACACAAAUAUUAAAAUCAAAAUGGAUCAUGAACUUGGACUUAAAUGUAAAACUAUAAAGCUUUUAGAAAAGAAAUAGGAAAGCAUCUUUGGCGUCUAGGGCCUGGCGAGGAAUUUUUAGACUUGACACCAAAAGCACAAUCUGUAAAAGGAAAAAUUGGUAAAUUGGACUUCAUCAAAAUUAAAAAGUUUUGCACUGUGAAGGACUCUGUUAAGAGAAUGAAAAGACAAGCUACAGAUCGGGAGAAAAUAUUUGCAAAUCAUAUAUCUAAUAAAGGAAUAGUAUCUAAACUAUUUAAAGAACUCAAAACUCAACAAUAAAAAACAAAUAAUCCAAUUAGAAAAUGGGCAAAAGAUAUGGCAAGACAUUUCACAGAGGAUGUACAGAUGGCCAAUAAGCACAUGAAAAGAUGUUCAAUAUCAUUAACCAUUUGGGAAAUGCAGAUAAAGACCACAAUGAAAUAUCACUACAUACUUAUCAGAAUGGCAAAAAUGAAAAAUAGUGACAACACCAAAAUGCUGGAGAGGAUAUGGAGAAGUUGGAUCACUUAUACAUUGACGGUGGGCAUGUAGAAUGGUAACCCACUCUGGAAAAGAAUUUGGGAGUUUCCUAAAAAAACUAAACCUGCAACUCUCAUACAAUCUGACUAUUGCAGUGUUGGGCAUUUAUCCCAGAGAAGCGAAAACAUACAUUCACACAAAAACAUGCACACGAAUAUCCAUAACAGCUUUAUUCCUAAUAGCCAGAAAAUGGAAGCAACACAGAUGUCCUUCAACAGGUGGUUAAACAAACGGAUACAUUCACACCAUAGAAUAUUACUUGGCAGUAAAGAGGAAUGAACUAUUGAUACACACAAUGGCUUGGAUGAAUCUCCAAAGAACUACGCUGAGUGGAGAAAGUCAAUCCCAAAAAGUUAUACUGCUUUAUCCUGUUUAUGUAACAUAUUUGAAAUAGCCAAAUUAUAGAAAUGGAGAACAGAUUAGUGGUUGUCAGGAGUUCAGCAGGAGGUGCGUGUGGGAAAGAAGUGACUGUGGCUAUAAAAGGGACGAAUGAGGGAUCCUUAUGGUGAUGGGAAUGCUCUGUGUCUUGACUGUCUCAGUGUUGAGAUCCUGGUUGAGAUACUAUACGAUAGUUUUGUAAGACAUUACCGGUGGGGAAACCUAGGUAAAUGGUAGAUAGGAUCUGUGCGUAUUAUUUCUUACAUUUAUAUGUGAAUCUAUAAUUAUCUCAAAAUAAAAAUUUUAAUUAAAAAAAUUAAAAAGCCAGGAAAGGGCAUCUGGGCAAGGUAGAAAAAGCCCCAGAUGAGGAGAUAGAAAUCUGGUCUGGUCCCAGCUCUGUCCCACACUCACUUUGUGGCUUUGAGUCAUGUAACAUCUGUGAGUCUCAAAGUCUCUCACAGGACAAAUGAGGGGACUGAAGUUGGCCCUACGUGAUGUAUUGGUUUGUUAGGGCUGCUGUAUCAAAGCACCACAGACCAGAUGGCUUAAGAAACAGAAAUUUACUGUCUUGCAGUUCUGGAGGCUAGAAGUCUAAAAUCAACGUGUUGGCAGAGUUGGUUCCUUCUGAGGGCUGUGAGGGAAGGAUCGGUUCCAGGCCUCUCUUGUUGGCUUGUAGAUGGCCGUCUUCUUGUGUCUUCACACCGUCUUCCCUCUACACGUGUCUUUGUGGCCGCACUUCUCCUUUUCAUCAAGACACCAGUCAGAUUGGAUUAGGGCCUACCCCAAUGACUUCACUGUAGCCUGGCCUCCUCUGUAAAGAUCCUACCUCCAAAUCAGGUCACUUUCUCAGUAACUGGGAGUUAAGACUUCAACAGAUGAAUUUUGAGGAUGGGGGACGCAAUUCAACCCAGAACGCGUGAUGUUGUAGAUGUGCUGUGGUAGUCAGGUAAAAUAACUACAUGAAAGCCCUCUGCAAAAGGUUCUCUGCAGACCCAAGGUUUAAAAAUCAUUGUAAGAAAAUGGCGUUCAGGCAGCAACUCGGCGGAUAAACACUGACACAG